GUACCACAUGGUCAACAUGCAAAUUUAGGAUCUCUCUCUCUCUCUCUCUCUCUCUCUCUCUCUCUCUCUCUCUCUCAUUUAUUUAUUUUUUUAAAGAAAGAGUGGGGGAGAGAGAGAGAGAGAGAGAGAGAAUUUUUUAAUAUUUAUUUUUUAGUUCUCGG
rnacentral:pre_miRNA from 1 species